UAUGUGACGGCGCCACCGUCGAUGUGUCAACCGUCGAUCUGUCAACGGUGGACCUUAUAUAAAGCGGCGCGCGCGUACGACUCGGGUCAUUCGUUCGCCGACCGUUGCCGAGUGCACACCUCCCACAAAUUAGUGAUAAAUAAUUGUAGUGACUAAUACUGUGUUAAUUGGAAUAAACCAAGUGAUUGUGUGAGAACCCCUUUGUUUUAUUUAACGAUGUCGGAUCCUGACGCCGACAUCAGAAGUGGGAUGCAAUCCGAAUGCCCACGUGUGUUAAGGAUUGCCAUGCCAUUGUUCAAAAAGUGAAAAAGUGAUGUGCUCGUUCGGAGUGAUGUGUGGCGGCCGAUGGUGGAUUAGUUUCGGGAGAAUUCGCCACGUGAAGACAAACUUUCUGGAUUUCUGAGUGCACGAUAGGCACAGGCUGAAUACCAACCUACUGGGAGAAGAAAAUAAGGGAACAUCAGAAUUUUGAUAUGGAGGUUAUAGUAACCACGGUUAUGGUAAUGGUAUCGAUUUCCAUUGUGACAUGUCAAACUAUAGUUAUUGAAGGUACGCUAGAAAAUUAACCGAUUUAUCUUCUCAUUUUCAUGUUUCAACAAUGACGGUAAUUAUUGUGCAAUAUGGCGACAAAAUUACUGCGGAGCAUCCCAGCUGCCAGGAGCCUGACGUGUCAUCGUGAGUUCGGAGUGUUGGUGCUCGUGCAUCUCCGUGGCUUCACGUCCGCGAAAGCCUUGCUGUACUGCGCGCCAUAGCGAUGUGCGCAUCGUCAUGCGCGUUGAGGCGUUGAGUGGAAACCCGAAGACGCUCGAGGACGAGCGUAUGUCAGCAUGGCCGUGACGGCGCCACCGUCGAUGUGUCAACCGUCGAUCUGUCAACGGUGGACCUUAUAUAAAGCGGCGCGCGCGUACGACUCGGGUCAUUCGUUCGCCGACCGUUGCCGAGUGCACACCUCCCACAAAUUAGUGAUAAAUAAUUGUAGUGACUAAUACUGUGUUAAUUGGAAUAAACCAAGUGAUUGUGUGAGAA
rnacentral:lncRNA from 1 species